rnacentral:lncRNA from 1 species
AUCUGUUUGUCCUUCUUGGUAAUUGACCCUUGGCUAUCUCUCUGACUAUUCUGUGUUCUGGUUUCCCGUUACUUGGCUUGGAUAAUUGUGUGCCCGUCUUCCGUAUUCCCUUGACCUCUGGCUAUUCCUUUGACUAUUCUCAGACGCUAGUCCGGCCAUUCUAAGGUCCGGUAACCAUCUUUCUGUGGGUUUCACGCUGUGUGAAGGGGUCACUG